AACGAACGCUGGCGGCAUGCCUAACACAUGCAAGUCGAACGAGACCUUCGGGUCUAGUUUCGCACGGGUGCGUAACGCGUGGGAACCUGCCCUUACGUUCGGAAUCACUCCCUGAAAGGGGUGCUAAUACCGGAUAAUGUCUUCGUACCAAAGAUUUAUUGCCUUUGGAUGGGCUCGUGGUGGAUUAGCGAGUUGGUAGGGUAAAAGCCUACCAAGGCGACGAUCCAUAGCUGGUCUGAGAGGAUGAUCUCCCACUCUGGGACUGAGACACGGCCCAGACUGCUACGGGAGGGAGGGGUGGGGAAUAUUGGAAAAUGGGCUAAAGCGUGAUCAAGCUAUGGCUAGUGAGUGAUGAAGGUCUUAGGGUUGUAAGGCUCUUUUAGCCGGGAUGAUAAUGACAGUACCGGGAGAAUAAGCACCGGCUAACUACGUG
rnacentral:rRNA from 1 species